rfam:Agrilus planipennis Contig39936, whole genome shotgun sequence.
AAAUAGUUAAGGAUGUGGGAUGCUCUAGUUUUAGCCGGCUGAAGAGGCCCUUAAUUGGUCCUACAACGGCCUGAGGUAGGGGGGUUUUAGUCGGUAGGUCCGAGGACUUCUUCCUCGGGAAUCGACACUACCCAGUCGUACUACUGGGCUGGGUGUCUUUUAUAGAUUUCCCCUCCUCCACGAAA